UACGUAGGGUGCAAGCGUUGUCCGGAAUUAUUGGGCGUAAAGAGCUCGUAGGCGGUCUGUCACGUCGGCUGUGAAAACUCGGGGCUCAACUCCGAGCCUGCAGUCGAUACGGGCAGACUAGAGUUCGGUAGGGGAGACUGGAAUUCCUGGUGUAGCGGUGAAAUGCGCAGAUAUCAGGAGGAACACCGGUGGCGAAGGCGGGUCUCUGGGCCGAUACUGACGCUGAGGAGCGAAAGCGUGGGGAGCGAACAGG
rnacentral:rRNA from 1 species